rnacentral:rRNA from 1 species
CACGUAGGGUGCGAGCGUUGUCCGGAAUUAUUGGGCGUAAAGAGCUCGUAGGCGGUGUGUCGCGUCGGCCGUGAAAACCUGCAGCUUAACUGUGGGCUUGCGGUCGAUACGGGCAUCACUGGAGUUCGGCAGGGGAGACUGGAAUUCCUGGUGUAGCGGUGAAAUGCGCAGAUAUCAGGAGGAACACCGAUGGCGAAGGCAGAUCUCUGGGCCGUAACUGACGCUGGAGGGAGCGAAAGCCGUGGGGAGCGAACAGG